UACGGAGGGGGGCGAGCGUUAUUCGGAAUUACUGGGCGUAAAGCGCGUGUAGGCGGUUACGUAAGUCUGCUGUGAAAGUCGGAGGCUCAACCUUCGAAAGCCGGUGGAUACUGCGUGACUAGAGUACGGAAGAGGAGAGUGGAAUUCCUGGUGUAGCGGUGAAAUGCGUAGAUAUCUGGAGGAACACCGGUGGCGAAGGCGGCAUCCUGGACCGGCAUUGACGCUGAGGAGCGAAAGCCAGGGGGAGCAAACGGGG
rnacentral:rRNA from 1 species